rnacentral:rRNA from 1 species
UGAAUGCCUUGGAGAUUUUGGCCGAGGAAGGACGCAUAUGACGGCGAUACUCGUUGGGUAGGUGUCAUAAACCUCUGAUCCAGCGGUUUCCGAAUGGAGCAAUCCCCCCGCCUUUGGCGGGGAGCCUUUCAUAAACAAAGAUGAUUUAUCAUUUUAAUAGUGAUUUGGCGGGGAACGGCGUGAACUGAAACAUCUAAUUAACGCCAGGAAAAUAAAUCAAAGCUCCCGUUAGAACUUUGUUCGUAAGUUUAUGCGAGUUAAAUUAAGUCAUCGGACUUGAAAUAGCUUCUGAAUACUAACAGCUAACUACUGACAACUAAAAAUCGUUAGAAGUUAGAAGUCAUAAGUUAGUUGUUCUCGCGCUGUGCGCGAGCGGGUUGCAGGGCAGACGAUAUUCGAUGAAGAGAUUGCUAGCAGAAGUGGCUGGAAUUGCCACGCCAUAGACGGUGAAAGCCCAGUACGCAAAAUUAAUCUCUCCGAUAGUCUGUUCCUAAGUACCAUGGGGUACGGUGAAACCCUGUGGGAAUCUGGGGCGUCCACGCUCCAAGACUAAAUACCAAAAUCUACCGAUAGUGAACUAGUACCGCGAGGGAAAGGUGAAAAGCACCCCGGGAGGGGAAUGAAAUAGAACUGAAAUUGUCAGCUAACAAGCAGAUAGAGCUUGUGCAUAGCACAAGAAUUUUCAAGUAACAAUUCUCAAUUUUCAUUGAAUUUUCAAUGUUUCCGCGAGUAAUAUCGUGCCUAUUGAAGAAUGAACCGGUGAGUUAUUCGAGGCUUAUCGUCUAAGAAAUUUACGUUUCGAAGGCAAAGUGAAAGCGUGCUCUAAUUGAGCGAUUUAAGUAAGUCUCGUAUAGACCCGAAACUGAGUGAGCUAACCUUGGGCAGGGUGAAUGUCAGAGAAGUCUGACAGGAGGCCCGUACCCGUAUCUGUAGCAAUAGGUUGGGACGACCUGAGGUUAGGGGCAAUAUGCCAAACGAACUCAGAGAUAGCUGGUUCUCCCCGAAAUAUAUUUAGGUAUAGCGGUUAGGUGGUGUCUAGAGGUAGAGCACUGAAUGAAAUCCGGCGUCGCAAGAUGUCGGUUUCAAUCAAACUCCGAAUGCUAGUAACACUUUACCUAGCUAGUCAGACAUGUCGGGCUAAGCUGAUAUGUCUAAAGGGAAACAGCCCAGACUUUCGUCUAAGGUCUCUAAAUAAAAGCUAAGUUUUGAACGAAGUCGACUUUCGUCUAAGGUCUCUAAAUAAAAGCUAAGUUUUGAACGAAGUCACAAUUCAUAGACAACCAGGAGGUUGGCUUAGAAGCAGCCAUCCUUUAAAGAAAGCGUAACAGCUCACUGGAGGAUGAUUUGUGGCGCGGAAAAUUUAUCGAGGAUUAAGCUUUUUACCGAAGACAGAGAUCCUACGGGAUGGUAGGGGAGCGUUUUGUUUGCAGUGAAGUCGGAUUGUGAAAUCUGGUGGAGCGGACAAAAGUGAGAAUGCCGGUAUGAGUAGCGAGAGAAAGGUGAGAAUCCUUUCCGCCGAAAAUCCGAGGUUUCCUCCGCAAUGUAAGUCAUCGGAGGGUUAGUCGGCCCUAAGGGCGUUCCUUGAUAACAGGGAGUAGCCCGAUGGAUAAGCAGUUUAGAUUCUGCUACAGAAUGUGAGAGUCUCUAAGGGGAGUACGAAAUUGGAAGAGCUAAGCCGCGAGAGCGGUCUAAAUAGCAAAAUAGUACCAAGUGGAAAAACCAUUGGUGUGUUCAAUUGAGCUGUUAAUGAAAGCUUGGUGAGAAGCUAGGCAGAUUUAGUAGCUUUCAGUUUCCAGGAAAAGUCUCAUUAGCCAGGUACCAUACGGUACCUGGAAACUCAUAUUUUACCGUACCGUAAACCGACACAGGUGGAUAAGUCGAGUAGACUAAGGCGAUCGGGAGAAAAAUGGUUAAGGAACUCGGCAAAAAAUCUGGGCGUAACCUUUGGGAGAUGCCCUGCCGCAAUUAGUUUUGCGGUUGCAACAAAAGAGUGCUUGGCGACUGUUUAUCUAAAACACAGGUCCCUGCAAAGCCGAAAGGCAAAGUAUAGGGGCUGACACCUGCCCAGUGCUGGUAAGUCAAUUAUGGCGAGUGAAGUUCCUUCGGGAAUAAGCUUGUUAUACAAGCUCCAGUAAACGGCAGCAGUAACUAUAACUGUUCUAUGGUAGCGAAGUUCCUUGUCGGGCGAGUUCCGACCCGCACGAAUGGUAGAACGACCGAGCAACUGUCUUAAUCAUUUACCCGGCGAAAUUGCGAUGGCUGUGAAGACGCGGCCUAGUUGUCCUAGGACAAAAAGACCCCGGGAGCUUUACUGUAUCUUGGCAUUUAUAAGUUUAUUUUAAUUGUUUAGAAUAGGAGGGAGGGUGUGCGUUGCACACAACUAAUAACUGCUAACAACUAACAGCUAACGAACUAAAUCUUUUAGUAGUUAGAGGUUAGAGCCGCAUAAAAAUCCGGCAAAAGAACAGUGUCAGGUGGGCAGUUUAACUGGGGAGGUUGACUCCUAAAUUGUAACGGAGUUGUACAAAGGUUGGCUAGUCACGGAUGGAAAUCGUGAUGAUAGCGUAAAGGUAUAAGCCAGCUUAACUGCGAGACAAACAAGUCGAGCAGAUACGAAAGUAGGUCUUAAUGAUCCUGUGAUGCGUAGUGGUACGCACACAGCUUAACGGAUAAAAGCUA